AUUGGCCCUCAGCUAACAUCUGUUGCCAGUCUUCCUCUUUUUGCUUGAGGAAGAUUGUCGCUGAGCUAACAUCUGUGCCAAUCUUCCUCUAUUUUAUAUGUGGGAUGCCACCAAAGCUUGAUAAGCGGUGUGUAGGUCUGUGCCUGGCAUCCGAACUCAUGAACCCUGAGCCACCAAAGCAGAGUGCGUGAACUUAACCACUACACCACCAGGCUGGCCCCCCAAAGCGAUAUUUAAAUAUAGAUUUAACCCAUUUAAAAACUUCAAGAGUUUGACUACUAUUAGUAAACAUAUUUAUUUGAAAAAUAUAUUUUCAACCACUUAUAAAAUACCAGAGCUUGCUUGGCUAUUACUAGUAAAAGAUAAAAUUAGAUUGUACAUGUCUCACAACUGACAUUCACUACUGUGACCCUCAAGUGAAGUUCAGGUGCCUUGGACUAGAGUCUUGCAAUAGCACUUCUCUUGGUCACCCUCUCUCUUUUCGUAAUGGUAUUCCUAUAAUGGACUAGGUAAUUCGGGCUAGACUGCCUUCUAAAAGUAACUUUAGAAGCUGUACGAGAUAGUUUUAACAUUUUUUAAAAAUCAGGCAAUUAUUAGGCCAAGAUCUGGGAAGAAGGAGUGGGAACACAGAAAGGUGUUUUUCUCCUGAGGCAUUUGUCAGUCUAUAAGAGAUGACUCAGAGGCUGAGCUGCAUUGCUCCAGCCUCUCAGGACUAGAGAACAUUAUCUGAAUCUGGGGGCUUCCAUGGGUGGGAACCUUGGUCAAUGCCCCACCCUAACUUUGGAUUGAAACCCUAAAGGCUUUAGCAGAGUUUGCAGCCUGGCUACCUGUCAUCAUGGGCCCUUUAAGAGCAGGCGUUUUUCCCCUUAUGUCUGAUAGUUUUUCUGGGGGUAUUCCCUCUUGUUGUUAAAAGCCAGCAAAGCCAGAUAUUAUGAUACUUGUCUCAAUUGUGCUGAGUCCAAAAGCUGCUUGUUGUGGCAACGCUCUCCCACUCAGAUCCCCCAAUCCUCCAGGGAAGGCUUCGUACCUUAAGCUUGCUCCAGGCUGUGAAACACCAUGGCUAAAAUAUGGCUUUUUCCUCUCUGGAAAGGAAUUUCUGCCUCUUCUGCCUCAAUCAGCACUGUCCCUUGUUGUUGGGGGUUCUUUUCAUUCAGUUUUCAGUUCUGUUUCAGGGGUAAUUGUUCCAAGAGUAGUUGUAAAUUUGUUGAGGGAGGAGGUGAGCUUAGACUCCUCCUACACAGCUGUCUUCCCAGCAGUCCUCAGAAGUGUUAUUUGAAGAAACAAUGGUAGAGACUUUACCAAAUCUGAUAGAAGACAUCAAUGCACAAUAACCCAACAGAUCUCAAUCAGGAUCAAUACAAAGAAGACACCUGGGCACAAUAUAGUAAAACUAUGGAAAACCAAAGACCAAAAAAAAAAUUUAAGGGGCCGGCCCCAUGGCCAAGUCAUUAAGUUCACACUCUGUGCUUCGGCAGUCCAGGGUUUUGCUGGUUCAGAUUUUCGGCACAGACCUAACAUCGCUCAUGAAGCCAUGCUGAGGUGGCAUCCCACAUAGCACAACUAGAAGGACCUACAACUAGAAUAUACAACUAUGUACUGGGGGGCUUUGGGGAGAAGAAGAAGAAGAAAAAAAAAAAAGAUUGGCAGCAGAUGUUAGCUCAGGGCCAAUCUUUAAAACAAAAAGACAAAAAUCAGCCAUAGUAAAAAAAGACAUCUUUAUAGGAGCUUAUCUUUGAUGGACCAACAGUUAGACUGAUAGCUGGCUUCCAUCAGAACAACCACUGGAAAUGAGGAGACGUCGGAGUAAUAUCUAUAGUGACUUGAAAGAAACUAACUGCCAUCCUAGAAUUUUCUACCCAGGAAAACUAUCUAUCUCUCAGUGAAGAAGGCAAAAUGAACACAAAGACAUUUUUAGACAAACAAAAACUGAGGAAGCUUACAAUCAGCAGACUUGCUGCAAGAGAAAUUCUAACAGAUGUUCUUCAGUACAAAGGCAAAUGAUCCUGGUUGGAAGCUGGAGAAGCAGGAUGAAUGAAGAGCAACAAAAGAGGAUUUCCACUUCCAGCCAAGAGGGGAUAGCAGUGACUGGCUUUACCCACCCACCUGAAACAACCACAUCAGACAAAUAAUGGUUUCAACAUACUGAUCAUCAGAUAAUGAAGGACAGUGAUUGCAGAAAGAUGAGGCACAAGCAAGGUCACCACAUCGUUGCUCCAGCUUACUGCCUUAGAGUUUCUGGGACACAGUAUAGGAAGAGUGAACCCAGGUGGAACCUACCUGAUUCCAAGAGUUGAAGAGACAGAGCUGGAACUUGGAGGAUCCCAAGGUGGCUAGAGUUUGCAAGGCAGAGUACCAGAAAAAAAAGAACAAUAGACAGAUCUGCAGAGGGUCUCCCUCAAAUGUUUGCAAGCACUGAUCAGCAGAUGCAUGUGAGAAAGUUAUCUGAGGCUGGGAAAAGAACCCCCAAAAAGAAUUUGAAGGAACAGUAUCCAGCACUCAUAUAGGUCAGGAAUAGUGCCUGUUUCCACCAGCCAGACUGGAAAACCUAGUAAUUAACAGGAUGUUGGGUAGAGUGCUCAGGAAAGUCUUGCCUCAGUAAGAAAAACAGUUAGUCCUGGACUGAGCACUGCCCUAGACCUGCCUAACAAGCCAGGAAACAAAGACCCAAAAGGAUCACUCUGCUUCCAAGGAGCUCAACUGCAUCCCAGACCAAAACUCAGGAUUAUAGGCAUACAAAAAUAUCCAGCACCCAAUGAAGUGAAUUCAUAACCUCUGGCAUCCAAAGAUUGCCAGGCAUGCAAGAGGCAGGAAAGCGUGACCCAUAAUGAGGAGAAAACAGUUGAAACUGACCCACAAUUGACAGAGAUGUUAGAAUUAGCAGAGAAGAAUGUUAAAACAGUUAUUCUAACUGUAUUUCAUUUGUUCAAAAAGUUAAGCAGAGGCAUGGCAGAUAUAAAAAAAGACACAUAGAACUUCUAGAGAUGAAAACUACAAUGUCUGAGAUGAAACACACACUGGAUGGGAUUAGCGAUUGCAGAAGAAAAGAUAGUGAACUUGAAGGUGGGGGCAUAGACGAACUCCAAAAUGAAACCUGGAGAGGAAAAUAGAAUUAAAAAAGAAAAAGGUCUCAGAGCCAUGGGGCAACUUCAAGCAGCGUAUUAAUAUGGACAAUUGGAGUCCUGAUUGAGGGGAGGACAGAAAAAAUAUUUGAAGAAAUAAUGGCCAAAAUUUUCUAAAUUUUAUCCAAAUUAUAAAGCCACAGAUACAACAAGAAACAUGAAGAAAACUAUACCAGCACACAUCAUAAAUAAAUUGUUGAAAAUUAGUGGUAAAGAUAAAGUAAAAAGUAAAAGGAGAAAAUCUUAACAGCAGACAGAGAGAAAAAGGCACAGGAUAUACAGAAGAACAAAGAUAGAGAUGACGGCAGAUUUAUUGUCAGAAACAACGCAGGUGGAAAGGGAUCAGUUCAUCAAGAGGACACAACAAUCCUAAACGUUUAUGCACCUCGUAACAAAGCUCUGCAUGAAAACCCGACAGAACUGCAAAGAGAAAUGAACACCUUCAUAAUUGCUGUCAGAGCUGGCAAUACUCCUCUCUCAAUAAUUGAUAGAAUCAAUAGACGAAAUCAGCAAAGAUAUUUUAGACAAUACUAUCAACCAACUUGACCUGAUUGACACUUACAGAACGCUCCGCCCAACAUCAGCAGAAUAUACAUUUUUUGUUUUUGAAGUGCACACAGAAUGUUUACCAAGCUAGACCAUAUUCUGGCCAUAAAAUAAAGUCUCAAAAACUUUUUAAAGAUUCAGGUCAUACAAUAUAUCUUCUCUGACCACAAUGGAAUUAAAUUAGAAAUCAGUAACAGAUUUCUUGAAAAUCCAUCCCCAAAUACUUAGAAACUAAAUAACACAUCUAAGUAAUCUAAGUGAUUUUUAACUAAGUGAAAAUGCAAACACAACAUUCAAACUUUGUGAGAUCCUGCUAAUGCAGUACUUGUGGGGAAAUUUACAGCACCAAGCACCUAUGUUAGAAAAGAAGAAAGGUCUCAAAUCUUGAAAAAUUAGAAACGUAAGAGCAGAUUAAGCCCAAAGUAAAUAGAACAAAGAAAAUAAUACUGGUCAGAGCAGAAAUCAAUAAAAAUAAAGCAGAAAAACAGCAAAGUAAAUUGAUCAAAAGGUGGUUCUUUGAAAAAAAAUCAAUAAAAUUGAAAAACUUCUAGCUAGACUAAUUAGGAAGAAAAAAGAGAACACACAAAUACCAUUCAGGAAUGAGGAAGAUGAUAUCAGUACAGAUUCUAUAGCUAUUGAGAAGGGAAAUAUUAUGAAUAACUUUAUGCCAAUAAAUUCAAAAAUUUCAAGGAAAUGGACAAAUUCCUUAAAAGCUGCAAACUACCAAACCUCACUCAAGAAGAAACAGAUUGUUAAGUUGCUAAGAGGGCAGAUCUUAAAUGUUCUCAUCACAAGAAAAUAAAAUUUGUAACUAGAGGAGCUGCUGGAUGUUCACUAGACUUAUUGUGGUGAUCAUUUCACAAUAUAUACAUAUUUCAAAUCAUAUGUUAUAUGCCCGAAACUAACAUAAUGUUUAUGUCAAUA
ensembl:lncRNA